AAUUUUCUAAAACAAAACAUAUCCCUUUCCUAUAAUGAAAGAUUGAAAAGUUAAAAAAUAAUGAGUCCUAAUCAUUAGAAAUUGUUUAAAAUAAAAAAAGGGGUAUUAAAAAAAGUAUUAAAGAGACAAAACAUAACACAUCGAUCUAUUUACCUGACAUUUCUUUGACGUGCAAAAGGGAUAAAUAAAAAUUAUUAAUCUACAAUAGGUGUUAAAAAUAUUUAAUUGUUUUUAAUAUUGCAUAAGCUUUACACACUAUAAAAUGACCUCUAAAAAUUGUUGUGCGGGAGAUUUCAAAUUUGUUGUUGACGCAAUUGUUAUAAUUUAGUCUUAAAUGUUCUUACGAUCAUUUUAGUUUGAGAGUUUUAAAUUAUUGAUUUCCCUAUUACAAAACUCAACUUUUGAUUCCUCAAUUUCACUUUCCUUGGGAUCCUAAUGGUGUCCCUCCAGUUUUGCUUAUGUGUCCUCUUGAUUUAUGACAUGACACUUUGACUAUGGUGUCAUGUCAACAAGUCUAACUUUUUUUAAAAACAACGGAUAUUUUAAUUAAAAAAAUAUUUAAACCAUUUUUUAUUAAACUUAACAAUUUAUAUAAUUUUAUAAAAUCUGAAAAUAAAAAACAUUAUUGUUCAUGUUUCCAGUCCCAAAUCGUCAUUUCUUAAGAGCCCUAACCCCCUUUCACUACCUUCAUUGUUAAAUUGAAUCAAUCUUGCUCAAAACUUGUGAAGCUCAAUCAUCAUUUUUUACUGUCGCUUCUCAAUCACUAUUUUUUGAAGCACAUUCAACCUGCAAGAGUUCAUUUUUGGGUUUUAAAGUUGGUGCUUGUGAAGAUGACGAAUGCACAUUCUCAAAGGGGGAGCAACGAAGAAGUCAAGUACUGUGUAAGGUAUGUUUAUUUAUCCUUUUUGCAAGACUUCGUUUUUGGGUUUUAAAGUUGGUGCUUGUGAAGAUGACGAAUGCACAUUCUCAAAGGGAGAGCAACGAAGAAGUCAAGUAUUGUGUAAGGUAUGUUUAUUUAUCCUUUUUGCAAGUGUCAGUGGUCCACAUGUUGCAUUUUAUUCAUUCGUAUUCAGUGGUCCACCAUGCUUUUGUUUAUGUAUUCUUGUGGUCCCACUUGUAAUGUUGUCUAAUUUUUUUAUUUUUAUUUUGGGUUUGUUGUUGUUAAUUUAAAACAUUUUAUUAUUAUUUCUCUGGCCAGCUAAGAGUCAUAAUAUUAGGUUGAGAAUACAACAUAAGGAAAGAUUACUAGAGAAACAUGUUAAAUGGUAUGUUGAUAGGUAUAUUGAUGUCAUCCUCAAUAGAGCAUCCAAUACUAAAUCUACGUAGUAUCCUGAUCAAAUUGUAGGGGUUAAUUUGUCUAGGAUAAAAAAACUCCGUCAAAAAUUAAAAAUGUGUAAAAUAAAUAUUACACCAAUACUAAAACUAUUAUUAAUUAAAAGAAUAUAAUAAUAGUGACAUAUCUAAAUAUAAAAAAAUUAAGAAAAUAAAGAAUUAUGAGAAAGGACGUAUCUUUUCCGAUGCUAUAAAAUUUUAAAUCAACGACAUAUCUUAUAAAAUAUUUAAAAUUUGAGAAUAAAAGAAGAAAAAAAAGAAUAUACACUGAUAGUGUAAAAUAAUUAGACAUUGUCAACCAAUCAACGACGUGUAUUCUGCCACAUCAUACUUUAAUUUUAAAAUCAUGUUGAUAACAUAGUAAAUUAAUAAAUUUCUAUUUGAUAACAGUGUAAAACUGCUUUACACUGUGAGUACACUACCUUUAAUAUCAUAAAAGACACACAAAAUAUUUCACAAGGAUAUACAGAAAACAAUAGAAAGAAAUUUGAAUUUCAUGAAAUGAUUACACAAAAAUAUUUUUUCACUAUUAGUUUUGAAUCAAAAUAGCUGUGAGUUUUGAAUCAAAUUUGUGGCAACCAUUUGUUUUUAUUUUGUAUCUCAAAUUUUAAUUUGAUUUAGUUAUGUAAUGGUUGUGUGAUUUUUUGAAGUUUUUGAAGUAUUUCAUGUGUUGUAACUGGUUACCAUCGGGUGUGUAACCGAUUACAGCUGAAGUUGACAUGCAUUCUAGACAGCUGGAGUAAACUCUAAUUAAUUUUAUAUUUUACACAUUAUAAUAAUUUGUAGAUAAUAUCUGCAUGAUGUUAUAUUUAUUGUGGUCAAAGAAUUUUUAAAAACAAAAACAUGUCCUUUUUCUAUCACAAAAGAUUGACAAGUUAUAUAAAAGACUAACGAAUUUUACUUUUAAUCAUUAAAAACUAUUUUUUAUUACCCCUUAAUGUGUUAAAAAGAAAAAAACACAACACAUUGAUCUACACUUAAAAGACAUUUCUUAAGUGUGCAAAAGGGACAAAAAUAUUGGUCUACUUAAUUGUUAUAAAUAAUUUUUUUAGUAUUGCAUUAACUUUACACACUAUAAAGUAUAAUUGAUCAAAAAAAUAUUCUAUUGAUUAUAUGCAAAAAAAUAAAAAUAAAAGUAUGGCUAACACUCUCAAAUUUGUUUAUAUUAUGUUUUAAUCAUUUCUCUUUCCCUUUUUUCAAAGAAGGCUUGUGGUAAACCAUUUUCUCCUUUAUAAACUUUACACGAUCUUUUAUUUCAUUUUAAUAUUAAUAUUAUUAGUUUAUUUUAUUUUUACAGCAGGGGUUAUUAAAUGUGAAAAGGAGGAAGAUUGUCCAAUUUUAAGUUAUGAGCCUUUAAUUUUUAAGUGCAUUAAGAAUAUAUGUGAAGCAGUUAAAAAGAAUCCAACAGCGUCACUACCAAUAUAAGACUAACAAAAAAAUAUGUCUAGUGUGCCUAAUGCUAGAAUAUUUCAUGAAUUGUCAUUUAAAUUUUAUGCUAAAAACAUCUAAUAAUUAUAUUUUUAUUUGUUUGAUUUGUUAAGUGAUUUCACAUUUCUUAAGAUUAUGAUUUUGUAUUCUAAAAUAUUAUUAAUGAAAAAAUAGGGCAUUGAAGAUUAUUUGUACAGGGAUUCCUAUAUUAUACUUUUUUAACAAGUAAUAUACGUUUACAAUAUAU
rnacentral:lncRNA from 1 species